rnacentral:rRNA from 1 species
CCUACGGGUGGCAGCAGUGGGGGAUAUUGCACAAUGGGGGGAACCCUGAUGCAGCGACGCCGCGUGGGUGAAGGAGCGUUUCGGCGCGUAAAGCCCUAUCGGCAGGGAAGAAGGAGGACGGUACCUGACGAAUAAGCCCCGGCUAACUACGUGCCAGCAGCCGCGGGAAUACGUAGGGGGCAAGCGUUAUCCGGAUUUACUGGGUGUAAAGGGGGCGCAGACGGCAGCGCAAGGCAGGAGUGAAAGCCCGGGGACUAACCCCGGGACUGCUCUUGGAACUGCGCGGCUGGAGUGCAGGAGGGGCAGGCGGAAUUCCUGGUGUAGCGGUGAAAUGCGUAGAUAUCAGGAGGAACACCGGUGGCGAAGGCGGCCUGCUGGACUGCGACUGACGUUGAGGCCCGAAAGCGUGGGGAGCAAACAGGAUUAGAUACCCGAGUAGUC